UACAGAGGGUGCAAGCGUUAAUCGGAAUUACUGGGCGUAAAGCGUGCGUAGACGGUUAUCUAAGUCGGGUGUGAAAUCCCCGGGCUCAACCUGGGAAUUGCAUUCGAUACUGGAUAGCUAGAGUUCGGCAGAGGGAAGUGGAAUUUCCGGUGUAGCGGUGAAAUGCGUAGAUAUCGGAAGGAACAUCAGUGGCGAAAGCGGCUUCCUGGACCAGCACCGACGUUCAGGCACGAAAGCGUGGGGAGCAAACAGG
rnacentral:rRNA from 1 species